rnacentral:rRNA from 1 species
AUUGAACGCUGGCGGAAUGCUUUACACAUGCAAGUCGAACGGCAGCACGGACUUCGGUCUGGUGGCGAGUGGCGAACGGGUGAGUAAUACAUCGGAACGUACCUUAUCGUGGGGGAUAACGCAGCGAAAGCUGUGCUAAUACCGCAUACGCCCUGAGGGGGAAAGCGGGGGAUCGAAAGACCUCGCGCGAUUAGAGCGGCCGAUGCCUGAUUAGCUUGUUGGUGGGGUAAAAGCCCACCAAGGCGACGAUCAGUAGCUGGUCUGAGAGGACGAUCAGCCACACUGGGACUGAGACACGGCCCAGACUCCUACGGGAGGCAGCAGUGGGGAAUUUUGGACAAUGGGGGCAACCCUGAUCCAGCAAUGCCGCGUGAGUGAAGAAGGCCUUCGGGUUGUAAAGCUCUUUUGUCAGGGAAGAAACACCGGCUCUAACACAGUCCGGGAAUGACGGUACCUGAAGAAUAAGCACCGGCUAACUACGUGCCAGCCGCCGCCGUAA